GGAGCCUGGGGAGUCCCGGGACCGACGGCGGCGGGGAUGCGGGUCUGCCUGUCCCUGGGAUGCGGGCGGGCGGGCAGGGCGAGGCCUGGAGCCCGCGGGGCGCAGGGGGCUGGACCGCGCGCUGUGAUUUUUCUGUUUAGCAGCGGGGCCUCGCCCAAGGUCGCGCGGGGCCUGUCCUGGAUAUGCUCUGGGAAGCCAGUGGCGCAGGGCAGCCGCCACCCUUCUGGAACCAGUGCCGGAGAGGGCCGGGCAGCUGGGCCUGGGGAGGGGACCGCAUGGAUGGAGCUGGGGGUAGCUGGGCGGCCUCCGGAGCCGGGAGAGUCGGCAGCUGCACUUCCGCCAGAGGUGGGUGUGUCCUUCACAUUUCAGGAAGGGAGACUUGGGGCCUGGAGAAGCGAUGUGAUUUUUCUUUUCUAGUUCAGUGCUGGUUUUGAUGGCUUUUUAUCAUGACCUUGUUAUGUCUUAUUUUAGUUUCGGCCCAUUUAGUGGAUACGACAACAGUGGCCCAGGGAGGUAUGGCAGAGCUGAGGCUUAACCCAGGGCCUGCGCCCUCCACGGCCUGCACUGCCCCACCUCCAGCUCCUUGCCCUGUUCCUCCCUCUGCACCGGAUCAGCCCCCGGACUCUGGGUCACCUCCACACCAGUUGACAGGGCCCCCCAGUCCCCACCGCCAACCACCUGGCCGGCUACUUGUCAGACAGACAUGGGGGCGUGGGCAUGGGUCCCCACCCCUAGCCUUUGCCUCUGUCACUCUACCUGCCUGGAAUGUCUACUUUUUCUUUAUAUUUUAUUUUAUUGUAUUUUUGAGACAGUCUCAUUGUCGCCCAGGCUGGAGCGCAGUGGCGCGAUCUUGGCUCGCUGCAACCUCUGUCUCCGGGGUUCAAGCGAUUCUCGGGCCUUAGCCUCCCGAGUAGCUGAGACUACAGGCGUGCACCACCAUGCCUGGCUAAUUUUUGCAUUUUUGGUGGAGACAGGGUUUCACCAUGUUGGCCAGGCUGGCCUGAACUCCUGACCUUAAGUGAUCCACUCGCCUAGGCCUUCCAAAGUGCUGGGAUUACAGGCGUGAGCCACCUCACCCAGCCUGGAGUGUCUCAUCUUCCACCACUAAAUGAAACGAUGGACCCUGAACAGAAAAAGGAACAGUGGUGGAAGAACUAGCAAAGCCCACAGCCUUGAGUUUGGCCGUAAGUAUCAAGGUUAAUCUCUCAGUUAUGGCAGUUGUCCCAUGACCGUGUAAGAUGCCAGGUUAGGGGACACUGGGAAUAGAGCAUUGGGAAACCUUCCCACUGUCUUUGCAACUUUUCUGUAAGUUUAAAGUUCUCCCAUAAUAAAAAGCUAACUUGAAUCCAAGGCAAGCAAAGCUUCCCUACUCUCAGCCCACCUCCCUCUUCUCCCACACCCUUUUGGACAGAUGAAAUGCAAGGUGAUGGCCCUGUUUCCUGAAGCUCUUUCCAGGGCCUGGCUGGCUCCCUUGGGCAGGUCUGGAGUGGGCUCUGCCUCUUCAGGAACAGUGGUCCCAAGGCUGGUCCCGGUGGGCAAGGCUGGUUUCCUGCAACUCGGCCUGGCUGCCUCUGAGUUUUGGCUCAAGGGACAAGGCCAGGGUCCCACACUUCUGUCUCCUGGCUGGUGCCCAGCUUGGGGCUUGGUUCUCCUGCCCCACUGCGCAGACUGAAGCUCAGAAGGCUCAGCUGGCUGCCCCCCACCCCACCCCUGCGGAGUCACUGGGCAGCUGGCUGUGAGUGGCCAGGUGCUGCUUGUUUGGUCCCAGGACCAGGUCUCUGCAUGUGUUGUCCAAUUCUCACCUGGUCCCCAGACCAGGUCUCUGCAUGUUUUGUCCAAUUCUCACCUGGUCCCCAGACCAGGUCUCUGCAUGUUUUGUCCAAUUCUCACCACUGGAGGAGAGUCCCAGACUGUGGAGUUUUCACAGGGAGGGAAACUGAGGCAGUCUCCUGGGUCAGGGUAAUUAGCCAGAAACAAGGUCACAUUCUGGGAGGUCAGAAGGUUCUGGAGGGCGGUGUGGGCACUCUACACGAGGGUUAGGGGCUUGAAUGCACACAGACACUCAGGCCGAGAGUCCCUCAACCCCACUCCCCUGCCCCGCCCCACCCCCGCUGCUCCAGGCCUUCUGGAGACAGGAUCCCUGUUGCAGUUUACCUGAGGCUCCCCAUCCCCGCUGUGAGCAGGAACCAAGGAGGCCCCUGGAAGAGCCCUGAGCUGGGAGUCGGACACCUGGGUUCUGGGCCCGGCUCAGCCCUGUGCCUGCCACGUGACCUCUCUGUACCCCAGUUCCUGUCAAAAAAGAGGAGAGGGCUCUGCGAUGUGAGAUGUGUGGCCCAUCAGGGGCUCUGAGGCUGCUUGCCCUCCCGUGUGGACAGGAAGUCUGGGGACAGGAGGCCGUCAGGUGGCCCAGCAAACCCCCCAGGCGUCUUGCCUGACACCCAGGGGCUCAGUUUUCGGUGAUGAGUAAGACGUGCUCAGUGCCUCUGUGUGUCGUGUGUGAGACCUGAGACCAGGGUGCCUGCUCCUCCCUCUGUUCCCAAGGGCAUAGCCCCAGGCCCGUUUGUGACCCUCCACUGGGCCCGAGAAGAAGGCUCCUUUCCCCAGGCCUCAUUCCCCUGUGGCCUCCCAGAGCCGCACGGAGUGGGGAGGGUCUGCUCUCCACCUGGCCAUUGUGGACCCCACCCCAGGAGCUCCGGCCGCCCCCCCCCCCUCCAGUCCCACUCCUUCCUCCCCAGAGGCAGCGAGGCCUGAAGUUUGUGUUUCCCCUCAGGGUGGUUCUUAGCUGCGGUCACAGAUUGCAGGGGAGGAGCCAGAAACGGAGAUGAAACCGAGGAGCCCCCACCCUCUUCACAGGGCUAAAGCCAGAAACCACCGUCCCAGGCCACAGCCUGCCUCAUGUGGCCAUGCCUGCUCCCUGGCAGUGCGCGUCCUGCAACCCUUCCCACCCCAGGGCCUCGGCUUCCGCAAUGAAUCCCCAUGUUUCAAAUCCCCGCUGCUCCCAAGGCUACCUGCUGCCUCGGGGUAGAAUCUAAGCCCCUUCCCCUGGUGCUGGAGGCCCACAGAGUGGGCGCUGCCUGUCCCUCCACUCCUUCAGCGCCCUGACCACCGUCUGGCUGUUCCUUUGCCCCCAAAGCUGUCCCACUGGCUGCCUCCUCCUGGCAUGCCCCCAUGCCACCCACGACCUCCCAUCAACUCCUAUUGAUUAUUAGCUUCUUUCACCCACUCUCUGCCCUAGAGCAUUGGUUCUUGGGGCACAGCAUCCUUGUCCUCCACAGUGAAGCUGGUGCCCCUGUACCUGGCAUAGCCCCUGUACCUGGCAUAGCACCUGCCCAGCAGCUGCUCGUGCAGGAAGCCCAAGUAGGGGUGGAAUAGAGAGGGAGGAGUUCCCAGCCCUGGAGGAGGGAGCGCAGAGGAAGGCUAGGCCGAUUCGCAGCUGCCUCCUAUCUCAAAAACGUGGAAGGGGCUAUAACUCUAGGGCUGGGAGGGAGGGGAGUCGUUUUCGCUGACUCUCCGCACGGACCCUCUCCUGCCCGCUAGCUGGUCAGCUCCUCCAGCUCUCCCCGCGGCAGCAGGCCGGGGAGCAGAUGUCUUGUCCAGUGUGCGCGGGGCACCGAGGUAGGGAAAGCCUGUUUAACCCGUCCCGCCCCUCCUGCUCUGGCCAGCAGCUCGCCCAAGCAGCUCUGCAGAGCGACUAGGUCAGGGCCUCUCCAGGUGUCUCCACUCGAGGGACGGCUGGCGCCACGCGGAAAAGGGGAAGCGGGUCAGGGCGGGACAAGGGCAAGAGGUUACUGCUCUGGGCGCUGUGUCCUAAGGGCUGCCUCUUGUCUGCGGAGAAUGGAGGGUGCCGGGGGUCAAGCCCGGACUCUGUCAGGGUACCCGAGUCUUAGCCACGCCAUCCUUCCCCAGCGCGCCGCGGGGGCGGGCACAGCAGGGCGGGCGUGGCUGGGAGACCGGCUGUGCCUCGCCGCCCCGCCCGUCCCAGGCCGGGAAGCUGGGACUUGAGCUGGUCUGCAUUCGGGCAAGUCCUUAGGACAAGGCAUCCUUUGGGGGCGUCACCAAGCUGGGAAGGUGAGCCCCCGAGUCAGUGUUGAGUUUGCGUAUCGGCAAGUGCCUUGAGCUCACACCCCUGGAACUGGCAGUUUGGUGAGAGAUGGAAUUUCAAGUUGAGAACUGGCCUGGGAUUUUGAACGCUUAGUCCCUGUCUCUUGCUGGCACUGCUGCUGAUGAGAAAUGAAUGUCACUGGAUUCCUGAUCCAGAGUCCAGGUGUUGUGUUUCUCUAAGAGCCUUCAGGCUUUUCCUUGCUGAUCUAAAACUGCUUCAUGUCCCUGGUGAUGCUUUUGCAUUCAUUAUCUUGGCUACUUCCUAGGCCCUGUUCUUGCUAAUUUGCUUGUAUUAUUUCUUUUACAAUUUCUUUCUUUUGUUUUCUGUUCUUCUGUUUUGGGAUUUCUGUUAAUUGGGCAUUAUACCUUCUGGAUUUAUUCUCUAAUAUUCUAGUUUUUUUCUUCUGUCUACUUUUUUAAACCUUCUGGGAUAUUUCCUUGACUUCUAACCCUUCAGCGGAGUUUUUCAUUUUAUUUAUUAUAGUUUUUAACCUUUUGGUUUUGAAAUUUUUUUUUCUUUUUUUGAGACAGAGUUUCACUCUUGUUGCCCAGGCUGGAGUGCAAUGGUGCGAUCUUGGCCCACCGCAACCUCUCCCUCCCAGGUUCAAGCGAUUCUCCUGCCUCAGCCUCCCUAGUAGCUGGGAUUACAGGCAUGUGCCACCACGCCUGGCUAAUUUUUGUAUCUUUAGUAGAGACAGGGUUUCUCCAUGUUGGUCAGGCUGGUCUCAAACUCCCGACCUCAGGUGAUCCACCCGCCUUGGCCUCCCAGAGUCCUGGGAUUACAGGCAUAAGCCAAGCCCAGCUUUUUUUUUUUUUUUUUUGAGACAAGGUCUUAUUCUGUCAUCCAGGUUAGAGUGCAUUGGUGCCAUCUCAGUUCACUGUAACCUCGACCUCCCAGGCUCAAGCAAACUUCCCACCUCAGCCCUCUCCAUCCCCCAGCAGCCAGGACUACAGGUGUAUGCCACCAUGCCUGGCUAAUGUUUGUAUUUGUAGUAGAAAUAGGGUUUUGCCAUGUUACCCAAGCUGGUCUUGAACUCCUGGGUUCCAGCAGUCCACCCGACUUGGCCUCCCAAAAUGCUGGGAUUACAAAUGUGAGCCACCACACCCAGCCUUUGUUUUGAAAUUUCAAACUUACCUCGUUUUAAACAUCUUGACACAUUUGCUUAUCAUUCUCCUUCUAUUUCUGAGCCCUUUGGAAGCAGGUUUCAGGCAUGAUGCCCUUACUAUUUUAGGGUGUGUUUCCUAAGAACAAGGAUGUUUUCUUCUAUAACCACAGAACAGUGAUCAAAAUCAGGCAACAUCAGUAUCACACUGUUUAUCCAAUUGACAGGCAAUGAUGGCGUGGAUCAUACAACUUCGGUAAUGACACUUGUCCCAGAAAUGUCCUCCGUAGUGUGUUUUCCUCAUCUAAUCCAAAAUCACGUUAUAACGUUUUGUUGUCAUAAACUUUUUUUUUUGAAACGGAGUCUCACUCUGCACUCUGUUGCCCAGGCUGGAGUAGAGUGGCACGAUCUCGGCUCACUGCAACCUCCGUCUCCUGGGUUCAAGCAAUUCUCCUGCCUCAGUCUCCUGAGUAGCUGGGAUUACAGGCGUGGACCACCACACCCAGCUAUUUGUUGUAUUUUUAGUAGAAAUGCAGUUUCACCAUGUUGGGCAGGCUGGUCUCGAACUCCUGACCUCGUGAUCCGCCUGCCUCGGCCUCCAAAAGUGCUUGAAUUACAGCCCGGCCAAACUAUCAUACUUUUAAUUCCCAAGGCCUCUCUUGUUCUCUGCACCAUUUCAUUAACUAUAGGCAAUGAGACUUUUUUAGAAAGCAGACCAACUUGAAUGCAUGGAGCUGAGUGGCGUGGCGUUGUCCCCAAGGGAGCUGGGUGACACCACGAUGGUGACCAUGUGCAGAGCCCUUCUCACCGUAGAGUGAUAAAUGGUCCGUUUCUGUUUUGUCCCAGAAGUCAGAGGUAGAGUUAAUUCCUUUCCUUUCCCCAGCACGGUUCCUGGCACACCUGGCACUCCCUAAGUGCCUGUGAUGGUUGGUUCUUACGUGACUGAACUUGCGGGUGGACGUGGCAUUACACGUGGGCAGGGCGUAUGUACACCUGUGUGUGUGUGUAGAUGCAGGUUCGCAGGGGCUGGGCAGAGGCCGCCACCUGCAGACCUGUGGGCUCGUUCACGCCAGGUGUCCAUGUCUGUGGUGUGCCCCUGUGUGUAAGUCCAGCUGGGCUGUAGACAGCCAUCUCUUCUCUGAAAGUUGAUCUGUUCGUCACUCUAAGCCCCAAGCAGCCAGGGGCUCAUGGGAUUUUCAUGAACACUCUCCUCCUGUCCCCUGCAUGUGCAAAGGUCCUGGGGCUCAGGGGUUGGAGGCUCCAUCGCCCCAGUGGUUGUGAGGCAUCUGGGCUUGUCCAGACACCUUCGCUUCUGCCCUCGGGGUCCCUUUGGGGACUUUUGUCCUUGCUGGGGUCCAGAGUUUUCUGGCAAGGCCUAGAGCCCUCUUCCUCCCCUCCCCUUCCAGGCACAGCCCCCCACCAGCACCUUAUGAUUUCACAGAAGACAAAAGCCAGCAGACUGUGUGGGCUGUCUGCCCUGAGAGUUCCAAGGCGAGGCUCCGGAGCAGCCAGCCGUGAACCCCAACUGCAGUUCGGGAAGCUGCUUUCGGGGAGGGGCAGGGAGGGGAGGGGGAUUCUCGGAGCAGGCAGGCAGCCACGCUGGAGAGCCCCUCCCCAAGCUCUUCAUUCCAACCCUGCCCUGCCCCCUGCCUUGCCGAUGGAGCCUGUCACCCUAAACCUGGCCUCAGUAAACCAACCCAGGCCAGAGAAAGAGAAGUGCGGCCCCCUCGCCCGUGUAAGUGGAACUGCAGCGGAGCCGAUAGCUCAGCCAUGAAAAAAUCAUGAGGUCGCCAGGCUGCAGGUCUGUGCUCAGGAAUAACACCCGGGGCUGGGCCCCUGGGAGUAGGUGCUGGGCCAGGAGUGAGGACAUCAAGGCCCGGUGUGCCCAGCAGGGUGGCCCUCACCUGGCUGCAGGGCCAAGGGGACAACAGAGCCUAGGCAGGGGCUUGGCACGGGGACAAGGGGGAGGGUGGAGUACCUGGGAAUCACUGGAGACAGGGAUGCCAACAGGAGUGGCAGCGGUCAGGGCCUGGCACUGAGGUGGGGGCUCCUCCGAUGCCUGCAGGGAGGGCUGCAGGCACUGCUGGCCUGUGAAAGGCGUGGUCCUCAGCCGCGGGGUGGCCCCAGGGCUCCAUUUCCCAGUUUUCAGGGCUCCAGUCCAGCAGGGCGAGGAGCCACCUCUCCCCCAGCUGCACACACGCAGGCCUGUGCCAGCUCACACCACCAGCAUCAGCGUUGCAGGGCAUCCAGCCUGGAGCACGUGCCGGUCACCAUGGCAGCAGACAGCGUGCCAGCAGGAGCCCAGGCUGGGCUCAAGCAUCCAGGAUCAGUGGUCUAGGCAUGGGGGGCUUGGGGUCCUUCCCCUUGGAGCACCAGACGGGCCAACUCGGGGAGGGGAAGGGGGACCCUGGAGCACCAGGACAGCCCGUCCACCAGCACCUCAGAAAGGGAACGAUUUCCUAAGGGCUCUCGGGAAACCUGAGGGUGGACACCAGGUGCCGGUGGGGGCGCAUGGCUUCCUGGUCCUGCCCAGCUGGCCCCGCACUGAGAGGGAUGGAGGCCGAGGCUCAGGCCUCGGGAGGCUGCCAGGGGAUUCUGAUGGCUGAGGCAUUCCUUGCCCUCUGGGCUCAGGUGAGGCCAGGAAGUCUGUCACAGCUGGCUGCUCCCUGGACCAGGGGGCUGGGGGUACUGCUACCCCAAACAGCCUCUCACUGCCCACCGGGACAAGGCACCCCCUCCCAGGUGCAGACCUCAGCUUGGGCCUCAGGCACACACUGGGCAGGGGCUUCCACCAGCCUCAGAGGUGGGCGAGGGUGGGGCGUGGAGCCCUCAGUGUGGCAGCGCCUUUGAAUGUCGCCACAGUGCAGCCUGCACAGGUCAGGGUGGCAGGCACGUGUGUAUCCCAUGUGAGUGGUUGGUUGGCACCUCCGGAGGUGUGGCCACAGGGCUUGGUGAGGGUCAGUGGGAGGGGUGCUUCCUGUUGCCUGAGAACACUGCAGGGGGCUAGAGUGCCCCAGCCCACCAUAUGCUCUUGUGAGUUGUGUAUGUCUGGAGUAUGAGUGGGACCCUGGAAAUAGCCUCCCUUGGGCAGUGUACAACCUGGGCUCCCUGCUGGGCAGCCCUGAGUAGGCUCUCAGGCUGGGAUCCAGGAUGACAGUCCCAGGGUCCAGAGUUGGCCCAGCAGGCGACUCUUCUGGCAACCUUUGCCCACCCUCAUCCAUGAGCACCUUCACACACACACACACACACACACACACCACACUCACACACAUGCACAACGCUGCACCCAUGGGCAGAGGCUCAGCCCAUCAUACAAGAACCCGGCCCUGUGCUGGGGUCCCAGCUGCUCAGGAGGCCAAGGUGGGAGGAUCGCCGGAGCCCAGGAGUUCGGGGCUGCCACUGGCCAAGAUAGCGCCACUGCAGUUCAGCCUGGGUGACAGAGCAAAACCCUGUCUCUAAGAUAAAUAAAAAGAACCAGACGGCCAGGCACGGUGGCUCACGCCUGUAAUCCCAGCACUUUGGGAGGCCGAGGCAGGUGGAUCACCUGAGGUCAGGUGUUUGAGACCAUGCUGGCCAACAUGGUGAAACCUCAUCUCUACUAAAAAUACAAAAACUAGCGGGGCGUGGUGGUGGGCGCCUGUAGUCCCAGCUACUUGGGAGGCUGAGGCAGGAGAAUCGCCUGAACCUGGGAGGUGGAGGUUGCAGUGAGCUGAGAUCACGCCACUGCACCCCAGCCUGGGCGACAGAGCAAGACUCUGUCUCAAAAAAAAAAAAAAAGGCUGUGCCUGGUGGUUCACGGCUGUAAUCCCAGCACUUUGAGAGGCUGAGGAGGCCAGAUCACAAGGUCAGGAGUUCGAGACCAGUCUGACCAACAUAAUGAAGCCCCGUGUCUACUAAAAAAUACAAAAAAAAUUAGCUGGGUAUGGUGGCAGGCGCCUGUAAUCCCAGCAACUCGGGAGGCCGAGGCAGGAGAAUCACAUGAACCUGGGAGGCAGAGGUUGCAGUGAGCCAAGAUUGUGCCAUUGCACUCCAGCCUGGGUGACAGUGUGAGACUCUGUCUGAAAAAAAUAAAAUAAUUAAUAAUAACCAGACUCCCGACAUCCAACAAUCUCAGGCACUUAUUAAGUACCUGCUGUGUGCCAGAAAUUUUGCUGAGAAUCCAGAGGAAGCGAUCCUAGCAGGUGGCUGGGCAACAGCCUGGGGUCCUGAGGUGGAGGCAGGAGGGGCUGGAAUCCCUGUAAACGGCCUCCCUCCAAGGAAGCCUGGCCCAGGCGCCCACCCUUCAGUCACCCUCCCCUGUUUAGCUCACACAGCUGGGUCAGUGCCAGGCAGCCCCACCCAACGUGGAGCUGUGGGGCCCUAGAACUGAGGAGCCGCCAUCAUUUCUGGCUCUGCCACCAAGAGGCUGCCCAGAGCCAGGCCCACUUAGUGCCGGGCGGCCAGGCUUCCCCCUGCUGAGCACCCGAUGCCUAAGCGCCCUGCCAGCCCAGACAGCGCUAAUGAGGCCGUCGUGCCAAUCAGAGGGGCAGGCCGCCUGGGCUCCUCCUCAGCCUGGCUGGGCGUUGGGGUGUGGAGGUGAAGCCAGUGUCUGUGCCUGGGGUGGGGGGGACCAUGGGCACAGCUGCCCCUCCGGCUUCCCCCACCGCUCACGGACCAACCGAGCUGUACCCUCAAAAUCCAACGGGAGGCCGGGCGCAGUGGCCACGCCUAUCAUCCCAGCACUUUCAGAGGCCGCGGCGGGCAGAUCACUUGAGGUCAGGAGUUCGAGACCAGCCUGGGCAACAUGGUGAAACCCCAUCUCUACUAAAAAUACAAACAUUAGCCGGGCACGGUAGCAAGUGCCUGUAAUCCCAGCUACUUGGGAGGCUGAGGCAGGAGGACUGCUUGAGCUCGAAGGUUCCAGUGAGCCAAGAUUGCGCCACUGGACUCCAGUUUGGGUGAGGAGCGAGACCCUAUUUCAAGAAAAAAGUUUUUUAAAAAGAAGAGCCAAUGGGAAAGUGAGGUGCAGGCAGCACCCUAGCUUGUAUCCCUAAACCAGAGACAGUUCCCUGGCAUCGGUGCUAGGCCUGUGUCCUCAGUCCCCUGGAAACUGUGGGAGAGUGUGUGUGGGCAUCGUCUCUGGGAAGGGGGUGAAACCCCAGACUGCGUCUCCCCAGGAUGGUGCCUGGCACGUGACCUGGUUUCGCACACAGUUGGUGCCUCAUAAAUGCGUGUGAAUCAUAGAGGCGGAUGAGGCCAGCACACAGGGAGAGGCGAGAGCAGGCCCUGGCGUCGUGGCGUACGCUGUGCCCUGGGGGGUAUUUGCAUGUGGGAGUCUCUCUGCCCCCACCCUGGCCCCUGAGCGUGGGGACAGUGGGGACAGGUCUCCUCUUUUUCCUCCCCUGUGUCUGCAGGUGCCUGGCACGGUUGCUGUCCAGGGCUUAGAGGACAGAGGAAGAGCCCCUGAGUCUGUGCACACUCUGCCACCAUGGCCCUGCCCACCUCUGGAGCCCACAGGUGCCCAGCCCAGGCCCCUUGCUUUUGGCUAGACUCCUGCCCUACGGGGACCCCCAUGAUGGCCACUCAGGAGAUGGGCCCAGGAGGACAGGGGAGUGACUCCAGGCCAUGACCGGAAGGGGCCUGUGGCCCCUGUUCCCAGUCCCCAGGGAGACGGGAGGGUCACACGCUGUUAUGAGGAAGAGGACACCGGGCUGGCCCUGGCCCAGGGUGGCCAGCUCUGGUUUCACUACUUGGCCCCAAGCCCCUGAGGCAGGUGCAGGAGCCAGGCACGGUGAGCAGGGCCCAGUGCCCCUCAGGCUCUGGGGAAGGGGUACAGCCAGGUGGCCCAGAGCAAGGAGGUGCUGUAGACAGGUGUGACCACUUCCAGUCUCUCCCGGCCUGCUGGCCUUCAUCCUCUCCCAGAUUCCAAGGGCCACCGCUGGGAGCAUGGGGUGGACAUCGUCCCACCAGCCUCCUGGAUCCACAUCCGUAAAGACUCCAAAGUGAAGUGAGGCUGGCUUCACUCCAGCUCACAGCAGAGGAGGGGGCAGCCUCAGGGCCCAGCAACUUGCUCAGAGCGCACAGGAGUGCGCUGGGGCCGGGCCAGCCUGGCCCAGGGCCUCUGACUCUGCCCCCUGCCUGCAGGGCUGCACGGCCACUGUGUUCCACCCUCCAGCGUGGGUGGCAGUCCAGUGCGUCAUUCUGGGGCCUGAGCAGUGUGGCCAGAGGCCGGUCUGGGGUGGAGGCGACCUGGGCUGCAGGUUGUGGCUGGGGUCCUUGCUAUGCUUCUGGCAGCAGGAAUCAGAGAAGCAGUAACUGGAUCCAGCUGAGGGCCUGGCGGCCACCGAGGGUACGGGCGGCGAUCAGGUUGCGGCCGAGCCGUGAGCGUUCCACUGGACGGCUUCUACAUCCGGAAGGGCUGGGCCGGGCCGGGCCGGGAGCCCACACGGGGUUGGAGGAGGGGGGCAGGAACGAGAGAGGCCAAAAGGUGCAGGGCCGUGAAGAGGGGCGCUGGGCCCACGCUAUGAGGAAAAGGGGAUCAACCCUGCCCUCCAGCCCCGUAGGCCCUCAGGCCCUCGGGCUCUGGGCUCUGUGCAAUCCGGGAGUGGCUGAAAUCCAAGCUGAGGGUAAUGAAAGGUGCUGCUCCUAAGCCGCACGUCUCUGAUCCG
rnacentral:lncRNA from 1 species